rnacentral:rRNA from 1 species
UACGGGGGGGGCAAGCGUUGUUCGGAAUUACUGGGCGUAAAGGGCUCGUAGGUGGCCAACUAAGUCAGACGUGAAAUCCCUCGGCUUAACCGGGGAACUGCGUCUGAUACUGGAUGGCUUGAGUUCGGUAGGGGAGUGGGGAAUUCCUGGUGUAGCGGUGAAAUGCGCAGAUAUCAGGAGGAACACCGGUGGCGAAGGCGCCACUCUGGGCCGAAACUGACGCUGAGGAGCGAAAGCGUGGGUAGCAAACAGG